rnacentral:lncRNA from 1 species
GCUAUUGUGGUUGAAUAUUGAUUUUGGAGUUGUAUUUAACUUUAAUUAAUUUAAAUAAAAUUUAAAUAGCCACAUGUGGCUAAUGGCUACCAUAUUGGACAGCAGAGUUCUCUGGGAAUUCACCAACCCUGAAAGCACCAUCUCCAAUGGCUGGAUUUGUUUUUGGUUUUGCUUCUUCUAAGUUCAUGUUAGACGGGUAAUGUGCUGACGUCAUAACAAGGUUUGAGGGUGACACAUCUCACACACGCAUGCGUGAGCACCCAAUUAUCAUACUUAUGAACUGCAAUUAUCAGCUUAUGGCUGGAUUUGAAGCGGAGACACAUAGCUAUGCUUGACCUAAUACCUCAUUUUGGCUUUUCACUUAUAAUUAAUUACUCACCUAAUCAUUUACUCAGUAAAUGUCCUCUGAAUACCUGCUAUGUUCCAGGCACUUGCUAAAGUCUGGAAACAAAAUAGAAAGCAACACAUAUCUGGCCCUUACAUUUCUAAAGGCGUAAGUAGAAAAUUAAUUUAAAUAGCAUGAAGAUAAUUGGUAAACCCAAGACAUAAUGGUAGCCCAUCUCACUCCAGAUAAGUGUAAAACUAUAGAUGGUGUUUGUGUUACAAGGGAAAGGCACAUUGUACCAUGAGGACGGGGAACAUGGGCUCCACAUAGACUGAAGGAGAGUUUCCCUAAAUUAGAAAUUUUUUUGGAGGACUUUUAUUUCCUGCAGGUGGGGUGGGUUAGAUACCUAAGCAAUCUUGCCCAAAUGAAAGAACUCAAAUGCAGAAGAAAAUAUUUUUAGUAACAACUUUCUAAAGCCAUUGCUGGGUUGGCACAAAAAUAAGAAUCUAUAGAUCCCAAAAAGAAGGAAAAGCCAGACAGACACCCAAGUGGAAUAUGCCAAGCAGGCGCUUUCAGGAAAUGGAAUAUUAAAAAUCCAAGAAAACAAUGGAAGGCCUAAAAGAAAGAACAAUGCCAUGGCGAGGUACUCAGAGCUGAGGGAGGAAGAUUGCUGCAGCCAGUGAGCUAAGCGGAAAGAAUAUCCUGGGCUUCCUUGGGAUCCGAUGUGGACUUGGUCCAGCUGCAGGGAGAGAAUGUACUGCUCAGGCCGACGUGAGGAUCCAAUCCACUCACCGGUUACAUGCCACGAUGUAAAUUAAUAAAUUCGCAUUCUGAUUUUAUCAUCUGCCUCAUCUGAGGUCUGUAGGCGUGAGUCAGCAUCCCCUAGUUUAAUCAACAUGGACACUGAGACUAUCAAGCUUUUGAGCUGAAAAGCUAAGAAUUAGACCCAGGACCAGAGUGAAAUCACCAAGAUGAGGAAAUCCAAGCUCAGAAUGGAUAAUUCACCUAAGGAAAUACAGAUGGAAAAUGGCAGAGCUGCAAUCUAAACCCAGGUCCAUCUGAUAAUAAAGCCCAGGCUCUCCUCAACCAACUUCAGAUCUAGGAUGCUUCCAGUGAGACUCCGUGCUCCCUCCCUGUGUGGUUCCCAUGGCCUUUCUUUACCUCAAGAAAAUGCAGAGUGAAAAGCAAUGGUAGCAGAAGUUUCUAGAAGUUACUUAUAUGGCAAGUGCAAGUAUUUCAGAACACAUUUGAGAUUCAGGAAGGAGGCAAAAAGGCUUCUGCUGAGCAGUCAAAAUGACGAAGUUUGUAAACUUCACUUUAUUUGGGUCCCUGCUGAAAGUCUACCUACUCUUUAAAAACAAUAACAACAACAAAAAAUGGGAACACACUAUUAACGCUGUUCUGCACAUGUAUUUUUCAAUUAACAAUUGGUGAGUAUUCCCUUUUAGCGCACAUAGAUCUACCUCAUUCAUUUAAGGGCUCUGUAGUGCUGCAUUGUGUGAAUGCACCAAAUGUGUAUUUAUCCUGCAUUCUCUAGGUGGACAUUUUAGACACUUACAAGGGUUGGGGCUCAGAAAGUGAUAUCCCAAAGGCUGAUGUUUUGACAUGCUGAGGGCCCUCAGAAGCCGCCCCCGAACCAAGGUCCCUCUAACUUCUUGUUCCCCAUACCUGCCCCACCACCAAACACAGGGAGGGACUGUCUGUCUUUGGAAAUUUCCUCAUCUGACCAAGAAAGCAUCUUUCCAAAAGAAAUGCAAUUGUCUUAAACACCCUCCCUAGAGGUCUCAUCAAAUAACCAAGAAAGAUAAACCACCAGAAGAGAUGAGACUGGGAAUCAUCACCACACCCAGACAGACUUCAUCUAUUCUUCUGAGAGCAGCUCCAAGAGAUUGCCUGGAGGACUUUAUCUGCUUAAUAAGACAAGCUUUGUUCCUGUACAGCUCCGCCCCUCACCUUCCUGUAAUAUCUGCCUCCCACCUCCCCAGUCCAUACAUCUCCUCCCUCCUGUAUGAAAAAGGGUAUACAAGCUUCUGUGCCCCAUUGGGUUAUUGGGAAAUCAUUCUCCUGUGAUUCCCCUGUGCCAUGCACACUAAAAUAAAAUUUUGUAUGCCUUUUCUCCUAUCGAUCUGCCUUUGGUCAGUUGAUUUUUCAAUGAACCUUCAGAAGGCAAAGGGGAAGUUUUCCCUUGGCCCCUGUACAUGUCUUUUGUAACUAUAGAUAAUGCUGUCAUGAACACCCUUUCUUCCCCCAUGUCUGAUGGGUAACGCACCAACAUUGUAACAAAAUUGGAGGAAGGCAUAUGUCACACAUGAGCGUGAAAACCCAAUCACCACGCUUAUGAACUACAAAAAGUACAUGAAACUGUGUUAUCCACAAGUCAGAUGAACCCAAAGAACUUGUUUCCAAGCCCUUCCUGGAGCAGAAUCAGUGAAGAGGAGGGGAAAGGGUUGCUAGAGGCUGUUGGCCUGAAGCAAUACAAGCUACUGCUGACAGUCUGGCAGGAGAAAGGAGACACAAAACUCUACAAAGCAAACACAAGAAGGAAAACAGGCCAGGAUCAUUUAGCAGAAGGUCCAAACAGUCCAAGACGGCAGAGUAGGCCUUUAGCAUAUACGAACUGAGGUUGAGAAGUACACUUAACCAUGAAAAAAGGGGCUUAAAUCUCUUCUCCAUGCUCUGUUUUAGAAGGCAGAAGAGUGUAAAAUCCAUUUUAGAAUUAUUUUCCUCUAAAAUGGCGAUCUAGGAAAAGGCCCAGCACUUGAAAGGACAAACGUCGACUGUGUAUGUAGCACACACCAUAACCUAUGGCGUUGGAUAGAGUGCUAUUAUACAAAAAUUGAUUGCUUUUUUUUUGAAAAAACAAGGACAGACAAGGCCUAUAAAGAAUAUGGAAGAUGGGCUCUUAGAAAAGGUGGACAUUUUGGCCGGGUGCUGUGGCUCACGCCUGUAAUCCCAGCACUUUGAGAGGCCGAGGCGGGCAGAUCACCUGA